GGCGCGAUGGCCGAGUGGUUAGGCGACGGUCUGCAAAACCGUAUACAUGGGUUCAAUUCCCAUUCGCGCCUCCA
rnacentral:tRNA from 1 species